AUGCGCGGCACGGCACGGCGCGGCACAGUGCGGCAUGGCUCCCGGCUCCCGGCUCCCGGCUCGGCAGAGGGCUGCGGCUCGCAGCAGCGAGGGCGGCAAGCGGGGCGGGGGGGCACCUGCCCCACGUUUUGCCCUUUCUCCUUCCUUUGCCGGUGGGAGCACCGGUACCUGCUCCCUUGGUUGAUCCGUGCCCUGGGGACCCCAAACCCCGGGUACCCCAAACUCGGGGUACCCCACACCCCACUAUCUCCACACCUUGUGUACCCCAUAACCCCAGUACCCCAUACCCUGGGUACCCCAAACCCCAGGUACCCCACACCCCAGGUACCCCACACCCUGAUUACCCCAUACCCUGGCUAUUCUGUACCCCACCAUCUCCACAUCCUGGGUACCCCAUAUCCCGGGUACCCCAUAUCCCAAGUACCCCAUACUCCGGAUAGCCCAAAGCCCAAGUACCCUUAUAACCUGGAGUACCCCACACCCUGGGUACCCCAUACCCUGGGUACCCCGUACCCCACUAUCUCCACACCCUGGGUACCCUAUAACCCCGGUACCCCACACCCCAGGUACCCCAAACCCCAGGUACCCCAUACCCUGGCUAUCCCAUACCCCACUAUCUCCAUAUCCUGGGUACCCUAUACCCCAAGUACCCCAUACUCCAGGUACACCCAUAGCCCAAGUACCCUAUACCCUGGGUACCCCAUAUCCUGGGUACCCCAUAACCUAGGUACCCUGUAUCCUAGGUACCCCAUAUCCCCUAUCUCAGGUACCCCACACCCUGGGUAUCCCAUACCCUGGGUACCCCAUAUCCUGGGUACCCCAUAUCCCCUAUCUAUCUCAGGUACCCCACACCCCGGGUACCCCACACCCCAGGUACCCCACAGUCCGGAUACCCCGGUUGCCCCAUACCCCAAUACUCCGUACCUUGGGUACCACAUACUCUGCUUACCUCAUCUCCUGGGCACCCUGUACCCUGGUGCCCCACGUGCCACUUGCCCUGGGGGAUGCUCUGCCCUCUCCCCCCAGCACUGGCCCCACUCACAGGGCUGCAGGCACCCGGGGCCGCCCACGGCCCGCAGCCCCCCGGCUCGUGGGACCCCGCUGCCCUGCUCCCCGCGGCCAAGGGCCAGGGCAGGCUGCUUCCUCGGUCAGGACAUGCAGCCCCUGCUGCAGAGCUGCCCCAAAUCACAUGAUUUCCUGGAAAGGUCCUUUAUCCGAGAAACAAAACAACCCAGUUUUGCAGAAGAGCUCGAAGCCCCUCCCCGGCCUCCUGUGCAGGAGGUUUUUGCCCRGGCAAGUCCAUGGGUUCCCCAGAAGGGAUGCGAGCCUGGAAGCGCAUCGCCCUCGCCGGCGGGGUGA
rnacentral:lncRNA from 1 species